ACAAUAAGCUUCUAUUAAUCCCUCAUCAUCAUCUUUGACUGUUGUAAUUAGGUCAUUCCUAACCUAAUUACUUAAACGGUAUUAUUCUUUUUUCUGCCAUUUGUAACAGGAAAGACAAGGAGAUAUUCUGGCCGCAAAUGAAGCUUCCUCCCUCGCUGUCCUGGUUCUCAGAAACAGGCACCAGAUACAGCUGCAGCUGUAGGAAGUUCAGGUGAAGCUGCAGCAUUGAGCAGGAAACCAAGCAGCGCACCAGAUCGUCCAGAAGACGGAUUGGCUCAGUCUAAAAACUGGAACAAACCAACAAAGCAGAAUGAUUUGCAGAGCAAGCUGGGUGCAAAGACCAUUUUUCUAUUAAGGCGCGUCAUUACUUUGAGGAUGUGAACAAAAAGCAUAACAGUUCCCUGAUGCAACACAUGCUAUCUCUGAUAGCAGAGAAGAUGCUCAGAAAUGUUGCCAUUUCCUGUUAUGUGCGCUGGUGGACCAUUAGGAUACAGUCUUACAGGGUUAUCCUUCUUCAGGCUUGAGAAGACACACUGGUUCUUCAUUCUAGAAGGCAAUUAAGAAACUAAAAAUAUUGAUUGCUUGUUAGCUGUUCUUUUUCCUGCUCUGAAGCUUAAUAUCGACUCUGUGUUUACACAACAUUUCUGUCCAGCUUUAAUUCCUGCCUUGUUAAUUUUAGCUCUUAAACUUGUAGAAUCCUAUAAAGAAUAUCUAGCCUCCCUCCUAAUGAAAUAAAGUUGACCAAUCUUCUAUUGACCAAGAAUGGUAGCUGGACUUACCAUGAAGUAUCCUUCUCAUCACUGAGUAGUGGAUUCAACAGUCCCACCCAAUGAAAGUAUAAGAGCAUGGAAAAGAUAUGGAAGACAUAAGGAAUGACCUUGAAGGACAGGAGGAAGAGCUGCUACCAAGGCAAUGGUUAGAUAAGUGGGGCUUGAGCCCAGGCCAAGAAACUGACAAGAGAAAAUGUCUCAAACAGCUUCUCACUAGUUCACACAAAGAUAAAGUGAGGGAGGAGGGAAGCACAUUCAGAUUUUCAAGAUCCUGUUACUAUAGCUGAUACAAUAAAAGCACUG